AGAGUUUGAUCAUGGCUCAGAUUGAACGCUGGCGGUAUGCUUAACACAUGCAAGUCGAACGGGUAACAGGCCUUCGGGCGCUGACGAGUGGCGGACGGGUGAGUAACGCGUAGGAAUCUGCCUCAUAGUGGGGGACAACGUGGGGAAACUCACGCUAAUACCGCAUACGCCCUACGGGGGAAAGCGGGGGAUCUUCGGACCUCGCGCUAUGAGAUGAGCCUGCGUUAGAUUAGCUAGUUGGUAGGGUAAAGGCCUACCAAGGCGACGAUCUAUAGCUGGUCUGAGAGGACGAUCAGCCACGCUGGGACUGAGACACGGCCCAGACUCCUACGGGAGGCAGCAGUGGGGAAUAUUGGACAAUGGGCGCAAGCCUGAUCCAGCAAUACCGCGUGUGUGAAGAAGGCCUUAGGGUUGUAAAGCACUUUCAAUUGGGAGGAAAACCUGCCGGUCAAUACCCGGUAGCUUGACAUUACCUUUAGAAGAAGCACCGGCUAACUCCGUG
rnacentral:rRNA from 1 species